UGCACGCAUGUCCUUAAAGCUCUCUGUCCAGCCUUUGUAUAUUCUUUUCUUUCUCCAGGGCUGUUAUCGCAGACCAAUCAUGAAUACCUUAAGUUAGAAGUUGACAGAGCUUGAGGCAGCUUGGAAGUCAUGCUGUCUGACCUAGACGUUCUUCAACAGCAGGCAGCCACAAGCUGACCUGACUAUACCAUGCAUUGAAGGAAUAGUACCUUGUACAUGCCCAGUGAUCCUUUUUAUGGUGCCCCUAUUCUGGUACCAGGACUGGUUUCUUCAUGGAAAGUAGGUUGUGACAAAAAGCUGUGAUUCUGAAAAUUUAUCCCCACCGUAGGUUAAGCUGAAUUUAGAUUCGUACAAAGAACGCCCUGCACAAACAGACCUUGGAGGCAUAUUAUGUGCCAAAGAACAGGAUGCUGCCUGCUCCUGUUUAUGCUAUAGUCGCCGUAAGUCAGAACUAACUUGACGGCAUAGGAUUAUUAGAGGUAGGGAACAUUUUGCCUUCCAGAUGUUCAUAAACUACUCUAACCAUACCUCACUAUUCGGCAAACUAUGUAGGGGUGGUGGGAAAUUAAGGCCCGUACAUUCUUAACCUUGUACUAGAAAUCAGUUCUCAACCUUGCUUUGUUGUUUAAGUCACGUCCUACUCUUUAUGACCCCAUGGACCAGAGCACACCGGGCCCUCCUGUCUCAACCUUGCAACCUCUAGCAAAUCACUUAUUUCUACACCUUAAGGUCAAAAAGAACCAAAGGCCCUUCCUUUCUCCCACAGUAGCCCAUAAGAUGCCUCCAAGGUGUCCACACGCAGGUGUGAAGGCAAUAUUCCCCUCUCCCCGUGGAUGUUCCUUACCAGCCAGUAUUCGGAGAACACAGCCUCUGAUCCUAAAAGUUACAAAUAGCGAUCAGGACUAGUAAGUGUGCAGUUUCUGGGCAGGCAAGAGGCUGCUCCAAGAUGCCCUUGGACAGAGCACUCUCAAGACAGCUACCUUCACCUAAAAAGGAUGUGGUGACCUGCAAGCCAAGAAUGGAUUCCUCUGUGCACAAUGAGAAUGGUGGCUUUGCUGCAGGGUAGAGAACGUUUCUGUGAUCUUCAGGGCCCCUCAGUGGCCGAGGCAAAAGGGCAGCUGUUCUUAACGCAGCAUUCAUCCUUCUUAAUGCAGCUACUAGGCAAAGGGUGGGGGACCUCAGACUUCCAAGUGUUGCUGGACCACAACUGUGAUCAUCCCCUGCCUUUGGAUAUGCUGGCUAGGGAGUUCUAGCACACUUAGAAGAGCACACAUUGGCCACCUCUGGAUUAGGGGGCUCUAUGGAAUUUGGCUAAACCCUGAGACUACCUCAGAUUAUCAGCUUCAUCCCAUCUUCCUCCUCCAGUGAUGGUGAACUUCUCAGAGAUGGUUUGGAAAACCAAUGUUUGGACUGCAGUUCGCAGUAGAAGGAAGUGGCACAUAAUUUAACUAGGAUCACCCAGACAAUAAUCCUGGGGUGCUAGCAGCAGUUUAAGGGGCACAUGGCUGUGUUUCUUCCGUGUUGGACAUGUCCCUAAUACCACCAGCACUGAGUCACCUCGGGAGUCGCUUGCAAAGCAGAACAAGACGGAGCUUGGCAAAAUUGGAUUACUGUCCCCAGCAUUCCUCCAGUUAGUAUUCCGAUCAAGUUUCAUGCCCUGAUGACUGGAGAUCAAAAUUGCUUUUCAAAGCACAUUAGGACAGGCCUUUUUCUUCCAGAUUGUAACUCUAAAAGGAAGGCAUGGUUGCCUUCCUCUUUCACAGCUGAAGUCACUCUGUUAAAGAGCAAGGUCAGCCUCUUCUAUAAAGUAUUCUUGGUAAGCCUGCACCAAGGCUAAGGAGCUCUCAACCCUCUAGAUAUUUUGGAUUUCAGUGGCCAAAAAACCCAACCAGCAUUGUCGGUGCAGGAUUAUGGGAAAACAUUAGACGGGGUGUGUGUGUGUGGGUGUGGGUGUGCAAAAGCUACCGUCCCUUGCCUUAUCCCAUUUUUUAAAAAUUGCACUCUAAUUCAGUAUUAAAAUAAUCGAGCUGCAUUAACAUUGGUUCACGCACCUAUCUUUCACUACUCCAUAAAUGCAGAAUAGAAUGUCUUCAAUGAAGAUGACAUUCUGUAAAAAGAAACUUCCUAGUGGAUGUUGGGAGAAGUAUUCCCCUUUUCUGAACAUUUGAUAUGCCUUUGUUUCAUUUUUGGUGUCUUCCCUGCUCAGGAGCCCAUGUUUUCCUUCUGGCAUUCUGGUCCAGCUCCCCAAAUCCAUUCUUUCAACUGAUUGGAGAAUUAAUUAUUAUUAAUUUAAAAAAGCUUAAAAGACAAACCAGCCUGUUGUCGUCUCAUUCCAUAGUAUAAUAAUGUUAUUGUAGAUAAUGUUCUCAGCAAAGUAGAAAUUUUAUCACAAAAAUGAGAGGUUUUGUCUGUAAAUAAUCAGUUUAGAUCUCAGAUGACUUUAUUACAGAGCAAACGUCUUACAUGGUAAUUCAAUAAACUUUAAUAUACAACACA
ensembl:lncRNA